rnacentral:rRNA from 1 species
AGUGAACGCUGGCGGCGUGCCUAACACAUGCAAGUCGCGCGGAAUUUGUUGCGAUUACAUCAAGACAAGUUUAGCGGCAAACGGGUGAGUAAUACAUGGGUGAUCUUCCUUUGGGAGGGAAAUAACCCCGAGAAAUCGGGGCUAAUGUCCCGUAAGACCACGACUCUUCCUCAGAAGAGACGGGGUCAAAGCUUCGCAAGGAGCGCCUGAAGAUGAGCCCGUGGCCUAUCAGCUAGUUGGUGGGGUAAUGGCCCACCAAGGCUAAGACGGGUAUCCGACCUGAAAGGGUGACCGGACACACUGGAACUGAGACACGGUCCAGACUCCUACGGGAGGCAGCAGUGGGGAAUUUGGACAAUGGGGGCAACCCUGAUCCAGCAACGCCGCGUGAAGGAUGAAGGUCUUCGGAUCGUAAACUUUCUUUUGUAGGGGACGAUGACUCCGUGAAGAACGGAGUGUGACGGUACUCUACGAAUAAGCCACGGCUAACUUCGUGCC